AGUGAACGCUGGCGGUAGGCCUAACACAUGCAAGUCGAACGGAAGCACAGUAAGAGCUUGCUCUUACGGGUGGCGAGUGGCGGACGGGUGAGGCAUACAUCGGAAUCUACUUUUUCUUGGGGGAUAACGUGGGGAAACUUACGCUAAUACCGCAUACGACCUACGGGUGAAAGCAGUGGAUCUUCGGACCUUGGCUGAUUGAAUGAGCCGAUGUCGGAUUAGCUGGUUGGCGGGGUAAAGGCCCACCAAGGCGACGAUCCGUAGCUGGUCUGAGAGGAUGAUCAGCCACACUGGAACUGAGACACGGUCCAGACUCCUACGGGAGGCAGCAGUGGGGAAUAUUGGACAAUGGGCGCAAGCCUGAUCCAGCCAUGCCGCGUGGGUGAAGAAGGCCUUCGGGUUGUAAAGCCCUUUUGUUGGGAAAGAAAAGCAGCAGGUUAAUACCCCGCUGUUCUGACGGUACCCAAAGAAUAAGCACCGGCUAACUUCGUG
rnacentral:rRNA from 1 species